UCAGCUGCAGGUGAUUACUUUGAAGGGAGAGCAUGUAUACAAGCUGGGAAGAUCAGAGUGGCAGAAGCUUAUUGCCAUAAGAACUUCUCAUUGCGGGCAUGCUUAUUGUUGCAAUCGGAGCUAGAGUGGUCCUGGUCUCCUGCCCCAGGUUUUUGUCUUCUCAAGACUGGAUGACUCUACAAGCUGUCCCUCCAGCAUGCACCUCUCCAAAUGAUCCUAAAUGUGAUUCUGGCUUUCAGUGACUUUAAGACCGCAAUCCAGAGAGGUAGAUUUGAUUGAGGGCCUGGUAGGAGAGGUGCAGGUUGAUCCCCUCUGCAGUGAUGGUGAACUGAAACGCUACUGCCUGGUGUGCCUCUGCCAUCACUACAUAGACACAGAAACAGCACUGGAUGC